CACGUAGGUGGUUUGGUAAGUCGGAUGUGAAAUCCCUGGGCUCAACCUGGGAAUUGCAUUCGAAACUGCCUCACUAGAGUUUAGCAGAGGGAUGGGGAAUUCCGGGUGUAGCGGUGAAAUGCGUAGAGAUCCGGAGGAACAUCAGUGGCGAAGGCGCCAUCCUGGGCUAAAACUGACACUGAGGUGCGAAAGCGUGGGGAGCAAACAGGAUUAAAUACCCUGGUAGUCC
rnacentral:rRNA from 1 species